GAUGUCUGCUUGUCUUGAAGAAUUUAAACUUUGCCUCCGAUUGGAUGACGACAUAACUACACACAAUUUAAAUAAAUUUAGGUUUUACAUUAUUUACAUAAAUUUCUAAUCAUAUAUUUACUUUAAUAUUUAAUAUAUUUAAUUUAGUUAUUGACUUAACUAAAUUAAAAUAAAAAGUUAUUAUACUAACAUUACUAUGAAUCAUUCGUACAUAUAAUUUUUAAAUCAAAACUAAAAACUAUCAUUUCUUCACGUGUAUUUUGAAAUUUUAUUGACAAUAUAAUAUUUUAAAUUUCUUUAAAAAAUUGAUCUUUAAUGGUCAGAUUAUAAAGUCAGAUUUUAAUUGCUUUUAUUUUGAACAACAGUUUUAAUUGAUUUUAAUAUAAUAGUUACUAUGUUAUUACAACUAUGUUGAGGGCAAUUGUAAAACAAAUUUCCAAAAAGAAAAUAAAUGGCCUAACGUUUAAGACAAUCAUUUUUAUUAGUUCUUUUUAUUAAUAUGUACAAAUCAGAUUUUGUUAAUUGAAUCUCGUUAAUUCAUUAUUUUGAAAUGCUUAGAUUCUAUACGUAACACAACGAUAAAUAAAUUUAUAACAAAUUUUAAACAAGAAUCACCAUAAAAUAUAAAAUCUAAUGUUAUUAUAUGGUUGAGUAUAUUACACUAGCAAUGUAGUAAUGAAUAAACCUUAAUAGUCUUUUAUCAUAUAAUUAUAAUUAACUUACUUAAUUAUUUCUAUUUUAAAUUAUAAAUAUUACUAUAAAACUUUGCUACCAAUAAAUAUGCAACUAAUGUUCUUUUCUAUAAAUAUAACUAAUUACAAGUGCACAUAAAUAAUAUAAUAUGAAUAUAUACCUCAUAAACUUUGGAGGAUAAACCUUAUGAUCUUUGAUCUUUGGAGAAGAGACUUUACGCAAUAAGCUUUGCGGUGAUAGAACUCUAGCGAUAGAAGUAAAGUCUAUUUUUUGUAUGAUAUGCAAAUGUUACAUGUAUUAGAGCAGUGUAUUUAUAGAAAACAAAUAUUAUUUUUUUGUUAUAUCUUGAAUCUUGAAUCGUGUGAAUAAACCCAUGCUAUACUCCACUCAACCCACUCCCUUUAUCUGAUAAUGAUGGUUCCUCCAUCUAUUUGGCUAAAAGACAAAAUAAUAUUGGACCACUUGUGUUUCACCCAUCAUUUUUAUCUUUGCAAGUUUUGUUUGUGAAUGGAUAAAAAAAGCGGGCGGCCCCCACCUGCGUAUCUCCCACUGUUUUUUACGCUCCCCAUUCUCAGCCUAAAACAAUGAAGAUGAAAGAUAAAUCUAUAACUAUAAAGUUGAAGUAUCUGCCUUUUUAGGUUGUCCACAUCACUCUGGAAAGGGCGGCUUUGUUGUCACGUCAUCAGUUUCUCCUGGAAAAAAAAACCAGACUUUGUUCUCUUCCUUUCUAAACAAAACGCAGAACUUCGCUGUCUUAUUAAAUCGCACUAUGCGGGACUAUUGGGUUUAGUUAUUAUUUUAGAAAAGCCCAUAUAGCUUUUGUGACAUUCUUCCUCAGGAUUGCUUAUCGUGACCCAGAGGGAUGAUUGAAGAUUCCCUUCUUCGGCUUUCAACGGCGACGGCGAGUAACGCUUUCUUUAGACACCUGGCAACUCCUCCUGAAUCUUCAGCUCACUUGAGAUCAAUACCAAAAUGUAUUCACAUGCCUUUCCAAUGUCCUCUACCUGAUAUAAAAACGUAUUCAUAUGCCCUCUAAGAUCCGAAUCAUGCCUCAAUUCUAUGACGAUUCUGUAGAUCAUCUCCCUCAGAUUCAGUCGACGAUCUCUGGAAAUAGGUGCUUGGAGCUUUCGGCUCUUAUGGAUUGAAACUAACCGUUCGAUUUGUAGCAAUGGUUCUCGGUUUGGUUUCGGAGAGCUUUGGAGGAGAUUCCGAGACAUCAAUCAAAGUCAAUCAAAGCUUUUCACCAUACAAUAUACUUACAUGAUUUACUUCAACAAGGACGCUUGGAAGUUUCACAUGUCAGAUUCUGUAAAGUCGAAUCAAGUAAGUAAAAAUGGAAACUGUUAUAUCUCUUAUACGUUUGUCUUUGCUAUCGUAUCGUUUGACUACUGUCUUAAACCGCCAUGGAGCACCUCCUAUCAUCGAACACUCCCUACCUCAUCUUAAAUCUGUUGCAGCCCCUUUUUUGGAUUGUGUUUGUGGCGUUUUGAGAAGAAAUAGAAGAAAACCAUGGCAGGAGCUGAUUGUGCUCGAUAUCAAAGGCCGUGUUCGCGUCCGGCGUGACUACCACGGCGAUGUGUCCGUCGCGCAAGCCGAGCGCUUCUUCUCCAAGCUCUCAGGGCCUGGAAAUAUCUUAAGGCAGCAACAUGUUGCAAGUCUCUGGUUGUUGUCUACAAUGGUAUGUGCCUUAUGCAAAUCGGGAUGGUUGCUAGAUAAGCUGAUCAAAGGAUCGAUGUAAGAAGGCGUAAUGAAAUCUAAAGCAUGUUAUUUGGCCAGUAUUUCUCUUUAUAUCAUGGGAGAUCAGAGCUACCUUUUCUACAUGCAAAUACACAGGUUGUGAUUUUGCAGCCGCUUGGUGAUAAGGGAAUCACACGUAUUGGUUGAAACAUGAUUAGAUGCUUCACGUCUUCAGACCAGGCUUACGUAGGCUUACAUUCCUUCAAUUGAAAGAAGCUGGUUGCGGGGAGGUGUUGUAUUGGUUCAGCUUAUAUUUCCCAAGAAACAGAUUGCAGUGAGUACCCAGCCCCGUAAAGCAGAGAAAAUUCAUCACAUGCGUCGUCGCGUCGAUCAGUUCAAAGAACUUAUGAAAGCGUGAUCAUGUGGUUUAAACACAGAGUGGAAAUGUAAAAAUUGCUCAAGAAAUCAUGAACUAAACACUUAUAUAUCAGCGCCGAGUUCUUUUUUCAAUAUAAACCAGUCAUCUUCUUCA